GUGGUUAACAUUGUUCAUGUUUAUCUAAAAAAUCUUCACCUAACAAAUUUAAGAACACAUGAAAUCAUACAUAGGGUAAAUUAAAAAUUGUAUCAAUUAAUACACAAAGGUCAUGUACAUUUAACGCAUUACAAUACAACGUCGUAAAAUUUCUUCUUCACGAAAGUUCCUUGAUCAUGAUCGCGGCGUAAGUACGGAGCCUCUUCUUUGGAUAGCAGGAUGCUUGGAUCAACUUCAACGGCGAAUGGAAGCAUGCCAUCAAACUGAUCAUAAUCAUCUGAUUGGUCUGUUUUAUCCUCGAC
rnacentral:lncRNA from 1 species